UCAGAAACCAUUGUCUCUUCAGGAGCAACAUCCCUUCUUUAAGGAAGGAGCAUCAGAAACCAUUGUCUCUUCAAGAGCAACAUUCCUUCUUUAAGGAAGAAGCAUCAGAAACCAUUGUCUCUUCAAGAGCAACAUUCCUUCUUUAAGGAAGAAGUCUCAGAAACCAUUGUCUCUUCAAGAGCAACAUUCCUUCUUUAAGGAAGAAGCAUCAGAAACCAUCGUCUCUUCAAGAGCAACAUUCCUUCUUUAAGGAAGAAGUCUCAGAAACCAUUGUCUCUUCAAGAGCAACAUUCCUUCUUUAAGGAAGAAGCAUCAGAAACCAUCGUCUCUUCAAGAGCAACAUUCCUUCUUUAAGGAAGAAGCAUCAGAAACCAUUGUCUCUUCAAGAGCAACAUUCCUUCUUUAAGGAAGAAGCAUCAGAAACCAUUGUCUCUUCAAGAGCAACAUUCCUUCUUUAAGGAAGAAGCAUCAGAAACCAUUGUCUCUUCAAGAGCAACAUUCCUUCUUUAAGGAAGAAGCAUCAGAAACCAUUGUCUCUUCAAGAGCAACAUUCCUUCUUUAAGGAAGAAGCAUCAGAAACCAUUGUCUCUUCAAGAGCAACAUUCCUUCUUUAAGGAAGAAGCAUCAGAAACCAUUGUCUCUUCAAGAGCAACAUUCCUUCUUUAAGGAAGAAGCAUCAGAAACCAUUGUCUCUUCAAGAGCAACAUUCCUUCUUUAAGGAAGAAGUCUCAGAAACCAUUGUCUCUUCAAGAGCAACAUUCCUUCUUUAAGGAAGAAGCAUCAGAAACCAUCGUCUCUUCAAGAGCAACAUUCCUUCUUUAAGGUGAGUGGUUUUGCCUAGUUUC